ensembl:lncRNA
CACAAACAAAAUCCCGGUUCCCAGAAAAGCGCCAGCAACAAAGCAGGCAUUGAAGAUGUUUUCAAAAGAAAGAAAAAAAGCAAAGAGAGAGGGAUUGGUUGAUUCAGUGAAUGAAUGGCAUCCUCAGGAUAAGAGCCCCGACUCACAACAAACCCGGGCUCUCCUCCCUCACCACCUUCUAGCCCAGUAUUGCUCAAACCUGCUGAUUUGGUCCCAGAACAGAAGAACCAGAGCAGGAUACGUCAACCCCAUCAAAGUCAGGAGGAAUGGGCCAGAGUGGAGACGGCGGACAUGUUGUCUCUCCCAACACCUCCGAGGCCCCCUCGUCUGCUAUGCAGGUCUCCUCACCUGCAAAGCAGGGCCCUUUAUGGGUCUCUGCGUCUCCACAUCUCGAAAGUCUGUAAUGCCAGUCUCCUCUUUGUUUCCACGCCUGAGACGCGGGUCCCCUCUCCCAUCUCCUCUCCUGCUAAGCUCCCACUGCCAGUCUUCUCUCCCUCGACCCCCCCAAGAUCUGAGACACAGGUCUCCGCUCGGAUCUUCACGCUCCCCAUGCUCGCAUCUCCAGUCUCCACACCUGUCAUGCAGCUCUCCUUGCCGACCAGUCUCUUCCCUGGACUCCACGCCUGAGACGCGUGUCUCCUCUCGCAUCUCCUCACCCGCCAAGCCCUCACUGUCAGUCUUCCGGCCCCUCUCCACGCCCACAACGCCUGCGACGCUGGCGAUCUCCCCUACAACGCCCACGACGCAAGUCCCCUCCCGGGUCUCCACGCAAGUGUCACGGGUCUCCUCACCUUCAAUGCCCACGACUCCUGGGACGCAUGUCUCCAAGCCAAUCUCCACUCCCCGCACGCCAGUCUCCACACCUGCAACACCGGAGACACGGUCUCCUUUUCGAUGCCCACGCUCCAGUUGCCCGCAUCUCCGGUCUCCACGCCUGGAACGCAGCUCUCCUCGGCCAUCUCCCCACCCCAGACCGCUGCAACGUCCGGGACGCGGGUCUCCCCACCGGUCUGCACGCCCACCAUGCCCUCGACACCCUCGUCUGGCAUCUUUUCGCUCAUCUCUAUGCCUCCGAUACCAGUCUCCUCCCUCGACUCCACGCCACCAACACCCCAAGGCAGCUCUCCGCUCCUGUCUCCUCACCUCGCUGGUCAAACCCCACUGCCAAUCUCCUCGCCCCUCUCCACGCCCCCGACGUCUGUGACGCCAGUCUCCCGCCCCGGACGUUGGUGAUGCCCCGGACAGAGACUUCCUCUCCAGUCUCCAUGCGUAAGCCCCUGUCGCCAGUCUCAUCGCCCGCCUCCACGUGCGCAAGACCUGUCUCGUCGCCUACAACGCCCGUGACACCCACAGUGCAAGUCUUCUCAGCUGCCAAGUGCCCUCUCCUGCAACGGUGGCGACGCUGGACUCCGUACUGGUCUCCACGCCCGUUGCGCUCCAGCUGCGGGUGUCCUCGCCAGUGUCGGUGCCCUGGCAUCCGCGCUCCUGCCCUUGCAAGUCUCCUCUCCUGAAACGCGUGCAACUCAUGAGUCUUAUCUCCCAGCCCCCCCGAGGUCACCUCCCAUCUGUUCACUGGUCCCAACUCCCUCUUGGCCCACAAGGCUGGUCUCCUCGCGCAGACACACCAAUUCCAGGGAAAUCUUUCUUUGACCUCAGGAACCUAGAUCUUGUUCAGAGGUGGGAACUUGUUUAAUUGGAAUUUGGCACCAUUUGAGUUCUGCCUUGUCUGUUCCGACCUGGGAAUUUGGUUCUUCUCCGUCUCAGCAAUGAUCUUCCAGCUUCUCACUAUGGAUCAGUAAUCUUUCCCCCUCGAUAGCGCAGAUGGAAGGUUUGCGCUCUGCCCUCAGGCCCUCUCCAAACGCCAGCAGUUGAAUGGAUCCCUAUUCACCCGCUGUCUUGAUGCACCCCCCCACACACACACACACAGAUGCACGCGCACACGCAGGCACACACGCGCGCGCGCGCGCAAAGCUCUGCAUCUACAAGCCCAGGAAUCCCAUCACCCAUCAAGUGCACUAGACCUCAUGGACCCGUGGGAUCAGAGCUCCAGCUAUGAAUAGUCCAGAGAGAAAAGUUUGCCCCCUUCUGGUCACUCCCCUCUUUUUGUCUGCUGCCCCCCCCCCCCCCCCCCC